rnacentral:rRNA from 1 species
AGUGAACGCUGGCGGUAGGCCUAACACAUGCAAGUCGAACGGCAGCACAGUAAGAGCUUGCUCUUACGGGUGGCGAGUGGCGGACGGGUGAGGAAUACAUCGGAAUCUACUUUUUCGUGGGGGACAACGUAGGGAAACUUACGCUAAUACCGCAUACGACCUACGGGUGAAAGCAGGGGAUCUUCGGACCUUGCGCGAUUGAAUGAGCCGAUGUCGGAUUAGCUAGUUGGCGGGGUAAAGGCCCACCAAGGCGACGAUCCGUAGCUGGUCUGAGAGGAUGAUCGGCCACACUGGAACUGAGACACGGUCCAGACUCCUACGGGAGGCAGCAGUGGGGAAUAUUGGACAAUGGGCGCAAGCCUGAUCCAGCCAUACCGCGUGGGUGAAGAAGGCCUUCGGGUUGUAAAGCCCUUUUGUUGGGAAAGAAAAGCAGCAGGUUAAUACCCCGCUGUUCUGACGGUACCCAAAGAAUAAGCACCGGCUAACUUCGUG